UACGGAGGGUGCGAGCGUUGUCCGGAAUCACUGGGCGUAAAGGGCGCGUAGGCGGCUUUAUAAGUGAGGGGUGAAAUCCCAGGGCUCAACCCUGGAACUGCCUUUCAUACUGGCAAUCUCGAGUCCGGAAGAGGUGAGUGGAACUCCUAGUGUAGAGGUGGAAUUCGUAGAUAUUAGGAAGAACACCAGUGGCGAAGGCGGCUCACUGGUCCGGUACUGACGCUGAGGUGCGAAAGCGUGGGGAGCAAACAGG
rnacentral:rRNA from 1 species